AAUUCUAAGACUUCAGGCAUCGUGUCUAUAGUUCAUUACUAGAGAAGCUUCUCUGAUUGUGUGGAGCACGGGAAACCACGAGGAGAAGGCGUAGCAUUCUCUCCUGAGCUUGAAGUUGGCUCUUGGUGUUGCUAUAACUUCCAUUUGCCAUGGAUGGUCACGCUUGUUUUCCUUCUGUAGAGCAAGAGGAAGAGGACACAGUCUGAGUGGA
rnacentral:snoRNA from 1 species